rnacentral:rRNA from 1 species
GAUGAACGCUGGCGGCGUGCUUAACACAUGCAAGUCGAACGAAGCACUCUAUUUGAUUUUUUUCGGAAAUGAAGAUUUUGUGACUGAGUGGCGGACGGGUGAGUAACGCGUGGGUAACCUGCCUCAUACAGGGGGAUAACAGCUGGAAACGACUGCUAAUACCGCAUAAGCGCACGGUAUCGCAUGGUACAGUGUGAAAAACUCCGGUGGUAUGAGAUGGGCCCGCGUCUGGUUAGCUAGUUGGGGGGGCAACGGCCUACCAAGGCGACGAUCAGGAGCCGACCUGAGAGAGUGACCGGCCACAGUGGGACUGAGACACAGCCCAAACUCCUACGGGAGGCAGCAGUGGGGAAUAUUGCACAAUGGGGGAAACCCUGAUGCAGCGACGCCGCGUGAACGAAGAAGUAUUUCGGUAUGUAAAGUUCUAUCAGCAGGGAAGAUAAUGACGGUACCUGACUAAGAAGCACCGGCUAAAUACGUGCCAGCAGCCGCCGCAG